CUGGUUCCGAGGCGGCCUCUCCUCCAGGUGCGCCGCUGUGACCUGCGGAGCGGCAGACAGACGCCGAGACAGGGGCCCACCUGUCUGGAGAUGGACUUGAGGAAUUCUGCUCUCUCCAGCCCAGACGUUCCCCCUGCUGCUACCGCCUCUGCGUUCUUUCCUGAUGACGCCCGUGUCAGUACUUGGAUCUCAAGACUUGCUGCCUGGGACUGUAGCAGGCCCCGUCCAGCCUGGGGCGCCCAGGCCUGCCUCCCCAACUCCCGCCCCAGGGGGAAUAGCCAGGUGGGAAGUGCAGUGACAGGAGCCCCUCUCUUCUGCUUCUGGCCUCGUCCUAACUGAACCGGGACACACAUACACAUGCACGCGCACACACACACACACUGCAGAUGUCCAGAGAAAUGAGGAAGGGACACACACACGCACACACCCUUGCAGAUGCCCGGAGAAAGAAGGAGGGGACUCUGAGGAAAGGUGGGGUGGCACCUCCGUUUUCUGGGAGACACUCAGGGGGAGGGAAGGCAGGUGCAGACCUGGGCUGAAGGUUGCAGUGGCGGGCUCUUGGCUGGGCAGGGCUUGGGCUGCCACUGGCUGAAGGGCCGUGAAGGCUGGGCGCCCUCUACCCUUCUCCAUGCCUCUGUGUCCUCCUCCUGCUCCCUGAAACGUGGGCUCAGGGGCUGUGGUAGAGCAAUGCACAUGGUCCCUUCCAGACCCAGGAUGCUCUGAGUCCGCACUGUCCACCAGAAUGGAGUGACAAGGGGUCUUUCUUAGGAACACCAUUUGGCCUGACUGGGGGCCUUUCCAGACUGGUGGCUGCUGCCUUUCCCAGAAUCCAGGUGAACUUAGAGCACAGAACUCUUCCCUCCUGAGCCCCAGCCUUCUCACAGCCUUACUCACUCUUGGCCUCUCAGCCUCUCGAAAGGGUCCAAAUCAACCCUAGUUUUUUGAGGUCUGGGUGAUAGAGGUAGGGACAGAGGCAGGGUAGGCUAUGUAAUUUGUGGCACCCCAUGUAAAAUGACAGUACAAGUCCAUUUGUUCAAAAAGUAAGGAAAAGAGUGCUAUUAAAGGUAUUAAAAUAUAAA